CCCUUCUUCCUCCUUGAAGCUUUCAAUUUUAGGCCAUGACACUCACUCUCUUUCCUCUCUCCUGGACAGAUGAUGUUCUGCCAAUCUAUGCUUAUGGCCAUGCAGUGGGGAAGUCAGUCACUGGAGGUUAUGUCUACCGUGGUUGUGAAUCCCCAAAUCUCAAUGGCCUGUAUAUCUUUGGAGACUUCAUGAGUGG
rnacentral:sRNA from 1 species